GAGUCGACCCCUGGGGUCCACUCUAGGGUAAACUUGUAAUUUUUUUAAAACCCAUCGGGCUCUGUUUUAUUGGAAUUUCAUCGAUUGCAAAGAGCCAACCCCUUUGCCGUUCGUCUUCCCUAUUCCACCGAACAAGAUCACCUCCCUCUCCACUCUCAUCUCAAAAUCCCUCUUCCCACCAGAUUGUUCCCUUUAAAUUAUCCCUUUAGGAUUUAAAUCUCUCUUCUCUUUCUUCUUCAUUUGGGCGGUUCGAGCUUACCCUAGUUUCAAACCCUUUUCUCUAAACCGACGGUCUAUCUCCUCAAAAUCUUUGCUUUUCCUCUAAAAAUCUCUUUCACUCUACCACUCAUCAACUCUCCUAAGCUAUUUGCAAGUCUCUUCUGUCUAAAAUGGCUCCCAAAUCAAAGCUAUCAUAGAGAAGAAAAUCUGUUCGAGGGUU
rnacentral:lncRNA from 1 species